rnacentral:rRNA from 1 species
GUCCCAGUUCGGACUGGAGUCUGNAACCCGACUCCACGAAGUUGGAUUCGCUAGUAAUCGCGCAUCAGCCAUGGCGCGGUGAAUACGUUCCCGGGCCUUGUACACACCGCCCGUCAAGCCAUGGGAGCCGGGGGCGCCUGAAGUCCGGGACCGCGAGGACCGGCCUAGGGCGAAACUGGUAACUGGGGCUAAGUCGUAACAAGGUACC